rnacentral:rRNA from 1 species
GAAGUAAAARUCGUAACAAGGUCUCCGUUGGUGAACCAGCGGAGGGAUCAUUG